AACUUAUCAACCGUGACUUGGGUUUAGGCCCCUGGCUCGGCUUGGAUUUGGGUGCUUGCGGUCCUCGGCCGCUCACCUCAAAAGGAUUAGCUGGACAUGUCGUGAGACCUGGUUCUACUUGGCGUAAUAAGUAUUUCGCUGAGGACAUCCCCUCGUGGGGUGGCCAGGACUCUGGUACAGACGUCUGCUCCCUAACCCGAUCGUCCCUCCGGACAUCACUCUUUUAUG
rnacentral:misc_RNA from 1 species